rnacentral:rRNA from 1 species
AAUGAACGCUGGCGGCAGGCCUAACACAUGCAAGUCGAACGGGUCCUUCGGGAUUAGUGGCGGACGGGUGAGUAACGCGUGGGAACAUACCCUUUGGUACGGAAUAGCCUCGGGAAACUGAGAGUAAUACCGUAUGUGCCCUUCGGGGGAAAGAUUUAUCGCCAAAGGAUUGGCCCGCGUUGGAUUAGGUAGUUGGUGGGGUAAUGGCCUACCAAGCCGACGAUCCAUAGCUGGUUUGAGAGGAUGAUCAGCCACACUGGGACUGAGACACGGCCCAGACUCCUACGGGAGGCAGCAGUGGGGAAUCUUAGACAAUGGGGGAAACCCUGAUCUAGCCAUGCCGCGUGAUCGAUGAAGGCCUUAGGGUUGUAAAGAUCUUUCAGAUGGGAAGAUAAUGACGGUACCAUCAGAAGAAGCCCCGGCUAACUCCGUGCCAGCAGCCGCGGUAAUACGGAGGGGGCUAGCGUUAUUCGGAAUUACUGGGCGUAAAGCGCACGUAGGCGGAUCAGAAAGUCAGAGGUGAAAUCCCAGGGCUCAACCUUGGAACUGCCUUUGAAACUCCUGGUCUUGAGGUCGAGAGAGGUGAGUGGAAUUCCGAGUGUAGAGGUGAAAUUCGUAGAUAUUCGGAGGAACACCAGUGGCGAAAGGCGGCUCACUGGCUCGAUACUGACGCUGAGGUGCGAAAGCGUGGGGGUAGCAAACAGGAUUAGAUACCCUGG